rnacentral:lncRNA from 1 species
GAGAACAGAAGAGCAACUAACAAUGAAGUCACUGGGGUUUGGAAAGGAUCACUGUAUUAUAAACACGUUUACAUCUGAUAAAGUAUGCUUUGGAUACUGUGGAACAGAUGCUUGUGCUACAUUAAAGAAGAAGCAAAGUCUGGCAGCAAAGUUAAGUUGAUACUUGAUGGGUCCAAAGAUAUGUCCACUUCUGAGACAGAACAGAAAACAAACAAUGGUAUAAAGAAGAGAAAAAAUGCUGUUGAUGUUUUUUUUUGUUUUGUUUUCUUGAUGCAUGAAUUGAUUUUUAAAAAUCUACAAAUUUAAAUACUAACUCCUGGAACACAAAGUACUGGAGCCUCUGAUUACUCAGACAGUUAUAAAGAUUAUAUUUUGUUAAGAAAG